rnacentral:rRNA from 1 species
AGAGUUUGAUCCUGGCUCAGGAUGAACGCUGGCGGCGUGCUUAACACAUGCAAGUCGAGCGAAGCGGUUAAGAAGAUUCUUCGGAUGAUUCUUAACUGACUGAGCGGCGGACGGGUGAGUAACGCGUGGGUGACCUGCCCCAUACCGGGGGAUAACAGCUGGAAACGGCUGCUAAUACCGCAUAAGCGCACAGAGCUGCAUGGCUCGGUGUGAAAAACUCCGGUGGUAUGGGAUGGGCCCGCGUCUGAUUAGGCAGUUGGCGGGGUAACGGCCCACCAAACCGACGAUCAGUAGCCGGCCUGAGAGGGCGACCGGCCACAUUGGGACUGAGACACGGCCCAAACUCCUACGGGAGGCAGCAGUGGGGAAUAUUGCACAAUGGGGGAAACCCUGAUGCAGCGACGCCGCGUGAGCGAAGAAGUAUUUCGGUAUGUAAAGCUCUAUCAGCAGGGAAGAUAAUGACGGUACCUGACUAAGAAGCCCCGGCUAACUACGUGCCAGCAGCCGCGGUAAUACGUAGGGGGCAAGCGUUAUCCGGAUUUACUGGGUGUAAAGGGAGCGUAGACGGCGAGGCAAGUCUGAUGUGAAAACCCGGGGCUCAACCCCGUGACUGCAUUGGAAACUGUUUUGCUUGAGUGCCGGAGAGGUAAGCGGAAUUCCUAGUGUAGCGGUGAAAUGCGUAGAUAUUAGGAAGAACACCAGUGGCGAAGGCGGCUUACUGGACGGUAACUGACGUUGAGGCUCGAAAGCGUGGGGAGCAAACAGGAUUAGAUACCCUGGUAGUCCACGCCGUAAACGAU